UACGAAGGGGGCUAGCGUUGCUCGGAAUCACUGGGCGUAAAGGGUGCGUAGGCGGGUCUUUAAGUCAGGGGUGAAAUCCUGGAGCUCAACUCCAGAACUGCCUUUGAUACUGAGGAUCUUGAGUUCGGGAGAGGUGAGUGGAACUGCGAGUGUAGAGGUGAAAUUCGUAGAUAUUCGCAAGAACACCAGUGGCGAGGGCGGCUUACUGGUCCGGUACUGACGCUGAGGUGCGAAAGCGUGGGGAGCAAACAGG
rnacentral:rRNA from 1 species